rnacentral:lncRNA from 1 species
AAGAGAUGCAGAUUCGUGAAUGAAGUCAGACUGAGAAAGUUGCGGCUAUUGUGGGUGAAUAUUUGUGUAUGUGUCUCCAUGUGGACACAUUUUCCUUCCUCUUGAGUAGAUGCCAAGGAUUAGGACUAAUGGGUCACAAGGAGCACAGACAUCCUACGAGUGGAUAAGCCACUGAAGAAGCAUCUCUCAGUUUCUCAGCAACCAUCAACAGCAAAAGCUCCACGUGGAGAGCCUGGUAUCGGGAGCCUGUCCCAAGGACUGGAGUCUUGAGCUGCAUGCUGAGGGUUGGAGAGGAAGCCCUGGCCCUGAGAUCUCCUGCACACCAGGUGUGUGAGACUCUACUGUGCUGGACACCUCCCACACAUAACUGUAAACCAGAAACAUCCUCACAGACAUGCAGAGAAGUUUGUCUCCUAGGUGAUUCCAGAUCCAUUCAAGCUGAUGUGCUUUAAUCACCUCAAUAUGCAAGUACAUGUACCAUCAAGACCUUGAGCAUCUGAGCAUGUGGAAUGCAUGGGGAUGGGGAUGCUGUCCCCAUGGAUACCAGGGCAUGGCUGAACCUACCUUAGAAAGCAAAGAGGAGUAACACAAAUCGAAAUGAAUCAAGAGAAAAAAAAAAGCAGCAAAGAGAAGGGAAUUUCAGAGCAGUUAUUUUAAAAAGUACAAUAGUCUUAAACCAAGCUGUGGAAGUAUGUAGGAUUUAGAAUGAGAAAACACAAAAGCCAUUAAAAUAAGCUCUGAGAAUCCACACAACUGUAUGAUAACAAAAUGGCUUAAGAGAACUAAAUAAUGCUUUUAAAAAAUGUUGCCAAAGCUGACCUAAGAAGUAGAAAAUCUGAAAUACCCCAAUUGGCAGACAGUGUGACAGUGAUUAAAGGAACUGAUGCAAAAUGCACACGCUCAUCUAACUGUCAAAAAGCAGAACAGGAAACCCUACUGUAAUUUAAGUAAGACAAACCAGAAGAAUGUGGACAGCUAAGGCAACCAAAGAUAUUUCUUACUUUAUAGAUACAAAGACUCAAAAUAGCAGCAAAAGAAGCAAGACAUAUCGCAAGACUAACAAGUUAACACAUACUGUAAGGAGAGUCAUUCCAGGGAUUAAGGGUGGGCUAUGUCAGGAAAUCUACUCACAUAAUAUAUAAGUUUUAAAAAAUGAAAGGUGAGUUGGCAAAAUGGCUCAGCAGAUAAAGGCACUUGCAGCCAAGCCUGAUGGCCCGAGUUCAAUCCCCAGUACCCACAUGUCUGUUGGUCUGUCUGUUUGUCUGUCUCUCUCACUCACACACAUACACAUAAAAUAAAUACAUGUAAUUCAAAUGUUAAAUAAAAAAUUAAAGGAAUAAAACCAGUAUGUCCAUAAAAAUGAUACUGAAAGUAUUUGCUAUACUUCAACAGCGACUGUUCCUAAUGAUAAACCACAAUAUUGACAAAUUGACUCUGAACAGCAUCUAGCACACAGACACUGGAGGGCAAAGCCUCUUCUGUCUGCUCAUUCCAGGUAUGUCCAGUCUCCAGUGGUGACUGCCACUUGGCAGCCCCUGACUGCCAAGGCUGUACUAUGUGUGAUGUCUUGUCACUGGUGAGGAUUCUAGAGCUCUAGCAACACAAAGGAGGAAGAAGGGGAGGAGAGGAGAAAGAGGAGGAGGAGGAGGAGGAGCAGGAAGAUCAGGAGAAAGAAACCAAACCUGUAGGAAAUCAACAAGGCACAAAUGACACUUGAAGACAAAGUGGCCCUGGAUCCUUUAGAACACUGAGGUGGGAUGUGCGCCCCACCGAACAGUUGGGGGCUGACACAGAGGCUGCCUCUACGCCUCCUCCAUGGGGGUCUGGAAAAGGAUGCUCUCCUUCUGGUUUUCCAAUGUGAUCUAAGAACCAGAGUGGCUUCAAAUGUCUCUCCAGCCAGCUUCCCUUCAUCUGCUAACUUCUUCCAGAAGAGCUGUAUUUGAGGCAGUAUGAAAUUGCCCCAGCAGAGUCUCUGACACAUGGUGAAUACCAACUUAAGCGGAAACAGGAGCACUGGCGAGGCCUGUUUCUUCUGGAUCGUUGGACUUUGUCCUGGCAAGCCAGGAAGCAAUGGUGAAGGCAUCUGGAGUAUUUCCCAGGCCUGGCAUGCGGGCUUUUUGGCUGGGAUAACUGAGAACUCAAAGUUGAUCUCCCUUCACCCCGAAGUCUUACCCCAUCUGGUCUCCAAAACCCAUUUUAAUACCUGCUCCUUCUAAGGCCAAAUAUCAUAGGAAGGGGCUGUGUCAUUGCAGAAGAUGGACAGUUAUUUAAAGAGCUGAUUAAAUUAGAAAGGAGCUGGGAGAGGGUGUC